UCCAGACUCCUACGGGAGGCAGCAGUGGGGGAUAUUGCACAAUGGGGGGAACCCUGAUGCAGCGACGCCGCGUGGGUGAAGGAGUGCUUCGGCAUGUAAAGCUCUAUCAGCAGGGAAGAAAUAGCGACCUUUGGGUCGCCAGACGGUACCUGACUAAGAAGCCCCGGCUAACUACGUGCCAGCAGCCGCGGUAAUACGUAGGGGGCAAGCGUUAUCCGGAUUUACUGGGUGUAAAGGGAGCGUAGACGGCAGCACAAGUCUGAAGUGAAAUGCCGGGGCUUAACCCCGGAACUGCUUUGGAAACUGUGCAGCUAGAGUGCAGGAGAGGUAAGUGGAAUUCCUAGUGUAGCGGUGAAAUGCGUAGAUAUUAGGAGGAACACCAGUGGCGAAGGCGGCUUACUGGACUGUAACUGACGUUGAGGCUCGAAAGCGUGGGGAGCAAACAGGAUUAGAUACCCGAGUA
rnacentral:rRNA from 1 species